AUCACUUCUCUGCCUUUUGGUUAAGAUCAAGUGUAGUAUCUGUUCUUAUCAGUUUAAUAUCUGAUACAUCCUCUACCUGAGGACAUUACAUUAAAUGGAUUUUUGGAGCUGGGAGAUGGAACAGGAGCUUGCUCUGUCCACUCUGCACAUUGGCCUGGUAUUGCAGUACUUCCGGGAAUGGUGCACCAAAA